CAGUAGCCGCGGUAAUGCGUAGGUCCCGAGCGUUGUCCGGAUUUAUCGGGCGUAAAGCGAGCGCAGGCGGUUAGAUAAGUCUGGAGUUAAAGGCUGUGGCUUAACCAUAGUACGCUUUGGAAACUGUUUAACUUGAGUGCAAGAGGGGAGAGUGGAAUUCCAUGUGUAGCGGUGAAAUGCGUAGAUAUAUGAAGGAACACCGGUGGCGAAAGCGGCUCUCUGGCUUGUAACUGACGCUGAGGCUCGAAAGCGUGGGGAGCAAACAGGAUUAGAUACCCGAGUAGUCCCUGUCUCUUAUACC
rnacentral:rRNA from 1 species